rnacentral:rRNA from 1 species
UACGUAGGGUGCAAGCGUUGUCCGGAAUUAUUGGGCGUAAAGAGCUCGUAGGCGGUUUGUCGCGUCUGCUGUGAAAACCCGAGGCUCAACCUCGGGCCUGCAGUGGGUACGGGCAGACUGGAGUUCGGCAGGGGAGAGUGGAAUUCCUGGUGUAGCGGUGAAAUGCGCAGAUAUCAGGAAGAACACCCGUGGCUAAGGCGGCUCUCUAGUACGGUACUGACGCUGAGACGCGAAAGCGUGGGGAGCGAACAGG